AACGAACGCUGGCGGCGCGCCUAAUACAUGCAAGUCGAGCGAGAAGACGUAGCAAUACGUUUGUAAAGCGGCGAACGGGUGAGGAAUACAUGGGUAACCUACCCUCGAGUGGGGAAUAACUAGCCGAAAGGUUAGCUAAUACCGCGUACGCUCCUUGGACUUCGGUUCAUGGAGGAAAGCGAUACCGUGGGUAUCGCGCUCUUGGAUGGGCUCAUGUCCUAUCAGCUUGNGGUGAGGUAACGGCUCACCAAGGCUUCAACGGGUAGCUGGUCUGAGAGGAUGGCCAGCCACAUUGGGACUGAGACACGGCCCAGACUCCUACGGGAGGCAGCAGUGGGGAAUAUUGCGCAAUGGGCGAAAGCCUGACGCAGCGACGCCGCGUGUGGGAUGACGGCC
rnacentral:rRNA from 1 species